rnacentral:rRNA from 1 species
GACGAACGCUGGCGGCGCGCUUAACACAUGCAAGUCGAACGGAAAGGCCUGCUUUCCCUUGUGGAUUGCGGGUACUCGAGUGGCGAACGGGUGAGUAACACGUGAGUGAUCUGCCCCCAACUUGGGUAUAAGCCUGGGAAACUGGGUCUAAUUCCCGAUAGGACUGCAGGGUGGUGCCUGUGGUGGAAAACGAUUUUCUAGUGGUUGGGGAUGAGCUCGCGGCCUAUCAGCUUGUUGGUGGGGUAAUGGCCUACCAAGGCGGCGACGGGUAGCCGGCCUGGGAGGGUGGGCGGCCACAUUGGGACUGAGAUACGGCCCAGACUCCUACGGGAGGCAGCAGUGGGGAAUAUUGCACAAUGGGCGGAAGCCUGAUGCAGCGACGCCGCGUGGGGGAUGACGGCCUUCGGGUUGUAAACUCCUUUCGACCGCGAGGAAGCCACCUGGUUGGAAGGGUGGUGACGGUAGUGGUAGAAGAAGCACCGGCUAACUACGUG